rnacentral:lncRNA from 1 species
CUCCAUAUCAAGGGAAGAGCGGGGUAGUGUGGGCGAGGGAAGUCCUUGUGUACCAGGUGAAGCUCAUUCUUCCUCUCAUUCUCCCCCUUUUGAUUAUGCAUGCCGCACUUCCAUGUCUCUUCAACCCUUUUAUUUCUCUUAACAUUUUCCUAAAUGUCAUAAUUGUCACAAUUGUGCAGGUUUCUGAACGAAACACAAAAGUAAACAAGAUGCAGGAAAAUUUUGGUGAAGAACAUUUUUCCAUAGCUUGUGAACAUGUUGGUCCUCCGAUUUUGAUUUUUCAUUAUCUGUGGUCCAUGCAUGCUUUUGAUAUUCAAUCACUUUAUUUGUUUACAUCCUACUAGAUUCUAAUUUCAGAAUUGGUAUUCUAUUUAGCUCUAAGACCUUGCCUUUAUUUUGUAUGAAGUUUACUAAUACAUUAAAUUGCAUGCAUGUUAGAUAUUCGAUGGGUGCUACUGUUUCUGAUUACAUGCAAUUCCACUUGGUUGCACUUUUUAUUAUGUUUUUGUACAGAUCCUUUGAAGGUAGUGCUGUUGCUGAAUCUUGAUGCUAUGGAUAUUGUCUGCUUUCAACCCCACCAUGUACUACUUACCAGAUAUGGAGGCUAUGUAAUAUUUGUCCUCUAUUGUCUUUCAGUAAUUCCUUCUUCCUGAAAUUUACCUACAAACUUUAUGACUUGGCUGCAGUAUAUGUUGCCUUUGGGUUAUGGGACUUGCCGGCGCAACCUAUCAUUUGAUAAAAUAUAUCAAUGUGGGGGAAUAUACUUGUGCUGGAUUGUUUGAGCCAUCAGAUAAGCCCAUGUUGUUGUAAAUUUUGCUCGUCUGUCUAUUGAUGAGAGUAGGAAAUAGUCGUGGGUCUCCUCCUCUUUCAUGUUAUAUCACUUCUUCUUUACGCUUCCACGGCGUAAUUCCUUAUUUGUGCGCCAACGCCAUUAUUUUGCCUGAUCUCCUAUGUUGAAGUAUGGUGGCUUUACUUUUCUUGUUCCAUGUGAUACCAUUACUUGAGAUGUCCAUGGUUAAUUAUCUUAAUAAGAGUCAGCAAACACAAAACACAUCCAGUGUGCCCAUUAACGCCAUCCAAAUAAUAAUAUGACUAAUCUGCACAUGUAGUUUCAAAAUGGG